CCUUACCAAGGGACCCAAAGGACCGAGAGGAAUCAAAGGAGCUCCGGGAGACAGAGGCCAGAUCGGGGAGAGGGGAGAAGAUGGUUUACCAGGAAAUGGUACUGCAGGUUGUCCUGGUUUCCAGGGUUAUCCUGGGACACGUGGAGAUGCUGGUGAGCCGGGAGGCAAGGGAACCCCUGGACCCAAAGGAGAUGACGGAGAUCCCGGAGAUCCAGGCCCCGAU